UGCGGUGCUUCUAGCGGAAGGGAAACACCUGUUCCCAUUCCGACCACAGCAGUUAAGCCUUCCAGCGCCGAUGGUAGUCAGGGCAUAAUGCUCUGGCGAGAGUAGGCCAGUGCCGCAU
rnacentral:rRNA from 1 species